rnacentral:rRNA from 1 species
ACACAUGCAAGUCGAACGGUAACAGGAAGAAGCUUGCUUCUUUGCUGACGGUGGCGGACGGGUGAGUAAUGUCUGGGAAACUGCCUGAUGGAGGGGGAUACUACUGGAAACGGUAGCUAAUACCGCAUAACGUCGCAAGACCAAAGAGGGGACCUUCGGGCCUCUUGCCAUCGGAUGUGCCCAGAUGGGAUUAGCUAUAGGUGGGGUAACGGCUCACCUAGGCGACGAUCCCUAGCUGGUCUGAGAGAUGACCAGCCACACUGGAACUGAGACACGGUCCAGACUCCUACGGGAGCAGCAGUGGGGAAUAUUGCACAAUGGGCGCAAGCCUGAUGCAGCCAUGCGCGUGUAUGAAGAAGGCCUUCGGGUUGUAAAGUACUUUCAGCGGGGAGGAGGGAGUAAAGUUAAUACCUUUGCUCAUUGACGUUACCCGCAGAAGAAGACCGGCUAACUCCGUGCCAGCAGCCGCGGUAAU